rnacentral:tRNA from 1 species
GGGUUCUUAGCUCAGUUGGUUAGAGUGUCUGCUUGACGUGCAGAAGGUCAGUGGUUCGAAUCCACUAGGACCCACAA